rnacentral:rRNA from 1 species
UACAGAGGUCCCAAGCGUUGUUCGGAUUCACUGGGCGUAAAGGGUGCGUAGGUGGCUACUUUAAGUUUGAUGUGAAAGCUCCGGGCUCAACCCGGAAAUGGCAUUGAAGACUAUUGAGCUAGAGGUUUGGAGGGGGGACUGGAAUGCUUGGUGUAGCAGUGAAAUGCGUAGAUAUCAAGCGGAACACCGGUGGCGAAGGCGAGUCCCUGGACAACACCUGACACUGAGGCACGAAAGCUAGGGGAGCAAA